ACUUUUGCUCAUGUAUACUUUAUUAAAAGACUGUACAGUGUUUUCAAGCUGAAGCAUUAUGGUUGUUGUUGUUAUUGUUAUGUAUUGCUUUGUGAUAGCGCCCAAUAGAUCGUCACCACGUUGUGUGCGUAAAUGUAUGAGCUGACACGGUUGCUCUUUGUUGAUAAUUUGCGGUUUUCGAGAGUAGUCAUUUUUUGCCCAUUUUCUCACACACUCUCUCUCUUGCUCUCUCUUUGUUUGUGACGACCAGCUAUCUGAUAACCUACAGCUAUUUGUUGACGUGUUAAAGAAGCACCAGAAGCCUAUAUAACAUAUCUAAGUUGAUUGAACCCCACCAGUUUUUUUUUUUUACAUAUAGAAACCCCACUGGAUACAUGUACAGUAUAGUAAUCACUAUGAAUCCUAUAAGCAUAUGUACCUCACAAUAAAAUCUCAUUUCAAUCAUUCAAGACUCCAGGCCAAUUUAUUAAACUGGUUUGGUGGCCAGCUUAUGUGGAAAAAUGUGAAGUACAAAGCAUUGAGUAUUGGUAAAAUGGCAUUUGGCAGCUAUAACGAAAGCGGUACAAAAUGUACAGUCCUGAGAAUAACUGUUCUACCAUCUUAAAAGUGCUUCUAACUAUUGACUUUGACAAAUAUUUAAAACAUUAGAAAUGCACACUGCGCAGGCUUUACAUACAAACGACAGAUAUUGAGAAUACUGCACACUGCCAAAUUUAAAAUGUGUUUAUUCUGCUUGAAAAAUUCUUUAUGAGGAUGGAAAUUGCACUCAACAUAGUUGUUGCAACUCACACAAUACAUUGUGAAUGUUAAAACAACUUCUGUUGACAACUUAACGUAGCAAUAAAAUGGGUAAAGGACCAGAAUAGUUUAAAUAUAAUUUCUUACCCUAAGACAAUAGAAAUCAUAUUUCAGUUUGAUCUUGAAGUCGUUAACGUUGUGAUAUGUAGAUACAAAUGUGUCAUGUGAACAUUGAAUGUGUGUUUUAGUAAAAUACAGAAAAGCUAUCCACAAAAUGAAGGAGGCUCGAGGACCUUUUCUCCUAUUUUCAGUGUUCUACACCAAAUGACAUCACCAACAUAAACAACGUCUGUUGUUUACGCUGGACUGAAGUUCUUUUACAAGCCCUCGAACCAUGAUCUCAAUCACAGUUCUUUGGAAGUAGCAAAGAAGUAACACAUCCUGCAAAUCACUGGCUGUUUAUAAACAUGCUGGUUGCGGCAAACUAUUUUUGACGGAUCAGACUAUAUUGCAUUGGAAAUCUGUUUUUCUGAAGCCCUACAACAAAGUGGGUACUACAUUGUCAUGGGAAGUCAUUCUUAUUUUCCAAACUUUGAGUUCUGAGGGGAAAGGCUUAACUAUAUUUUAAGUUCUCAAAAUCUCUGGUGAUCUAAUGUACUGCAACGUAAAAAAUGAUAAAUGCUAUAAUUUGUUGUUUUCCUGAAGAUGAGGAUGUUUCUCCUACUUUUCGUCCUCUGCCUGAUGACUCCUUCUGGCUACAGUCAGCUUGAAGGUGGUUCUGAAGGUGACAUACCAUCACAUUGUGCUCCUGGGCUAGUAGGGCCACCUGGGAACCUGGGCUAAGUGGGCCGCGUGGGCUACCAGGGAUGCAAGGUGGGAAAUAAUGAUGCAAGAAUUCUUGCAGCCCCCUGUUGGACAGGCAGAGCUCUAUGCUCACAUUGCUCUAAACUCUCUCCAUCCAUCUGUCAUUUACUGUCAAAAAAUAAGGCUGGUAUUCAAAUCUCAAAAAAUGCAUGCUCCCCUGAGGAUGAUGUUGUACCUUCUUGACUUAGGUAACCCUUAAUUCUGGGAAUGCUGUUUAAAUAAACGAACAUCAUAGAAAUCACGAUGUUUUUUUAAAGGGGUCAUAAUUGUAAGACCUCAGCUUUUCAAUGCUUGUGCACAUUAAUGUGGUUGUGCCUACCUAUUCAACAUUUGCGAAGAAAUAAAAACCCAGUCAGCUUUAUGUGGGCUGUAUAAAUGAGAAAAAAUAAGGUUAAAAAAGCCAUUUAGAUUUUGCUCUCUUUACUUCUUCACAUGCAUUUCCACACAUGGCUUCAGACCUACCUUCUGUAAAAGGUGAGCAAUAAUGUUCUUGAAAGCCAAUAUAAAAGAGACUACACUAUUUUGGAGUGGGGCUAAAAGAGAUAAGUGCUCAAUCAGAGUGUUUAGGACAGAGGGCUGUUGCCUAUUAGAAAACUUGAAAAUUAGCAUUACAUAAAAAUAAACUGACUGAAGGUUCUUUUGAGCUUUUUAUCUCUUUUCUCUGCUCUUCAAUAAAGGUCCGAUGGGAGCGCCUGGAGUUCACGGCAGGACCGGAAGGCCAGGAAAGCCUGGACCGGCUAUAUUCUGCGAAAAGGUUGAACAUUUUCUAACAAAGUAAGAGGGAUAUAUAGAAGGGAUGGAUACUGCAUCCCAGGUCAGUAAAAAAAAUAAUUUUAACAUUUUGAAGGUUUUAGUGCAUUCAUUUCAACUGCCACUUGUAAAUCUCAUAAAACAACUUUGCAAAUUGAUUAUCAAAAGUAAAAAAAACAACCAGUUCAGAAGUGUGUGUCAUUAGGGUACUCUGAGUUUGAGUUUUUAAAUGGUUACCCAAAAUCCCAAAACAAACUUUGAGCAUUGAUUUUAAAAGAUGUGCUGUCUAGGUUCAGAGAGUUUAGUAAAAGAUGGUAUUUAGUUGUAUUAUGAGAGCUGCAGAAUCCUGACAUGUACAAUAUACCAACGACUAGAAUAUAACACAUUUGGGUAAGUUCAUUUUGACCCAUGUUCACUUUUUUCUUAUCACGUGUAACCCUUUAAAGACAACACCUGCAAAAUGCAUUCAGUCGGUCUUGCAAAAAGUGAAGAUGGGAUUUUUUUGGAUGUAAGAGGGUCGUAUAUUUGACACCAUGUAGGGUAACACUUUACUUGAAUGGGUGUUCAUAAGACUGACAUAACAUUGUCAUAACCAUGACAUGACACCUGUCUUAAACAUGAAUGAAUACUUAUGACAGUUGUCGUUAAGUGUCAUUCGGUAGGUUAUGUCACUUUUGAUGCAAAGGUGACAUUGUUUGAGAUGUCCUUGUUAUGACAAGUUGACAUAAACCAAGACAACAAAACCUGUCAUAAACAUGUCAUAGCAGACAUCCAUAUAUGACGGUUUAAGAUAUCAAGCUAAACGUUUUUCUUAAGUUUGACAGUUAGGUCUGCUAUGGCACUCUUAUGAACACCCAUUCAAGUAAAGUGUUACCCAAUGUUGACUCAGAUACAACUCACUGCCGGUUUGGAAACUGAACUCGAUAUGUUUGAACCAGGUUUCCCUGGCGAUGCCCUAAAAUCCUUAAACGACAGACUUGCUAAGUUAGAUCUGGUCAUAAACUUUGACUUUUUCCGGAGAGUUGGUCAGAAAUACUUUGUGUCCAACAAGAAGAGAGGCUCUUUCUCCAGCGCCGUCGAGUUCUGCACACAACAAGGCUUAGAGCUGGCUUUGCCCCAGAACGAGGAGGAGAACAGCAUACUGACUCAAGUGUUUGGGGAAGAUUUCACAACUGCUUG